CAGAGAAUAGUUUAAUGUAAAAUAUUAAUUUUGGAGAUUAAUGAUAGAAAUAUUUCUUUCUCUGA
rnacentral:tRNA from 1 species